UACGAAGGGGGCUAGCGUUGCUCGGAAUCACUGGGCGUAAAGGGUGCGUAGGCGGGUCUUUAAGUCAGGGGUUAAAUCCUGGAGCUCAACUCCAGAACUGCCUUUGAUACUGAGGAUCUUGAGUCCGGGAGAGGUGAGUGGAACUGCGAGUGUAGAGGUGAAAUUCGUAGAUAUUCGCAAGAACACCAGUGGCGAAGGCGGCUCACUGGCCCGGUACUGACGCUGAGGCACGAAAGCGUGGGGAGCAAACAGG
rnacentral:rRNA from 1 species